rnacentral:lncRNA from 1 species
CAGGUUACACCAUCUUCGUUACCUUGCACUCAUUCAAAACAACUUCAUCUCAGCUACAAUUCCUUCAGAAUUUGGGAAUCUCAGCAGGUUAGAGGCCUUAUCUCUUAGGAAUAAUAGCUUUGUAGGCCAAGUUCCUUCCUCAUUUAACAGCCUAAGCCUUCUUUCCGUUUUAGAACUUUCCCUAAACGAGCUCACUGGUAGUUUCCCACUUGUGAGGAAUCUAACAAAGCUCUCGGCUUUAAGCCUUGCUGCGAAUCAUUUCUAUGGAACUCUGAAUCCUAAGAGUACUAGCCUGUUUGAGUUGCGCCACCUCCGUUACCUUGAUCUAAGUCAAAACAACUUCACCUCAUCACUCCCUUCUGAAUUUGGAAAUCUCAACAGACUAGAGAUCUUGGCUCUUUCCUCCAAUGACUUUUUCGGGCAAGUUCCUCCCACAAUUAGUAACCUAACCUCGUUAGAGGAAUUGAACCUUCACCACAACCAACUCACUGGUAGUUUCUCACUUGUUCAAAACCUAACCAUGCUUUCAGUUAUAGCAAUCAAUCAUAAUCACUUCUCUGGAGCCAUUCCAUCUUCUCUCUUCACCAUGCCUUUCUUAUCAUAUCUCGAGCUGAGAGACAACGAUCUCACUGAUUCUGUUGAAGUUUACAACUCCUCAUCUACCCUGUCUAGGCUCGAGUACUUGUCCCUUGGGAAUAACCAUUUUGAAGGAAAAAUCAUAGAGCCUAUCUCAAAACUCAUCAGCGUCAAGAUUCUUGACCUUUCUUUCCUUAACACAAGUUACCCGAUUGAUGUAAGCCUCUUCUCCACGCUGAAAGAUUUGGUGGACCUUGAUCUUUCCGGUAAUAGUAUAUCUCCGGCCAGUUUAGGUUCAAAUUUAGACAUCCCAACAAACCUGGAGAUUUUGUUGUUACGAGGUUGCGGCAUCAAAGAGUUCCCAAAUAUCUUUAAGAUCCUUGAGAAGUUGGAGAAUAUAGACUUGUCCGACAACAUAAUCAAAGGCGAGGUCCCGGAGUGGUUAUGGAAGCUUCCUCGUCUAAACACAGUGUUUCUUUCAAAUAAUUCGUUUAAUGGUUUGGAAGGUCCAGUGGAUGUUUUGGUAAAUUCAUCUGUGAAGAAUUUAUUUAUGGAGCGAAACUAUUUUGAAGGAGCAGUUCCUAUUCUACCACUCUCCAUCAACAACUUUGCUGCGACAAUCAAUAGAUUCACAGGGAGAAUACCUCUUUCAAUAUGCAAUUGUAGGUCGCUUACGCAUUUAUGGCUUCCUUACAACAACCUCACGGGUCCAAUCCCUCAAUGCUUGAGUAACUUGACGGUUUUGAAUCUCCGGAAGAACAACUUGGAAGGAAGUAUCCUUGAGGCAUUUUAUGUCGGUGCUUCUCUACAAACACUUGAUGUUGGACACAAUCGACUAACCGGGAAACUUCCAAGAUCUCUUCAGAAUUGUUCAUCUCUCGAGUUUCUAGCUGUUGACCACAACAUAAUCAAAGACAAGUUUCCUUUUUGGCUCAAGGCUUUACCAAAUUUGCAAGUCCUUAUCCUCAGUUCAAACAAAUUCUAUGGAUCUAUAUCUCCUCCUGGUCAAGGUCCUCUCGGGUUUCCAGAGCUGCGUAUAUUUGAGAUAGCUGAUAAUAAGUUUACUGGAAGCUUGCAACCGAGAUAAUUUGUCAAUUGGAAAGCAUCGUCCCUUAUGAUGAAUGAAGAUGGUGGUCUAUAUAUCGCACGGGAACUCAUUUUAUAAAAAAUAUAUUAUAAUCUAUAAUAUAUAAUUUUAUAUGCCUGAUAAAAAAAUUAAACCAUAUAAAUAAUUAAAUUUAAUUUUGAUGAUUAAAAUAUGAUUUACAAAGUAUUCAAAUAUAUAUAUAUAAAAAAUAUAUAUAUAUAUUUUAUAAACCUUAAUAUUCCCUUUAAUUUUUUAUCAAAACACAUAUUGCAUACAAUUGUGUCUUCAUUCUUUUUAAAUUUUUUCAUACAUUUUUCACAUGAUAGUUAUCUUCAACCACUUUUUGAACAAAAUGCAAUUUUUUUUUUUGCAUGAUAUAUAAUUUUUUUCCUAUUUAAGACAUAAUAUUAAAAUUAUUAGUUUAUAAUUUUAAACAAUUAUAAUUUGUAUGUUGGUAAUUGUUAUUUUGUAUAUUUAUCUACCUGCUUUAUUUAUUGAAAAUGAAUAUUCAGAAAAUUGAAUAUUGUAAUAAAUAUAUGUUGAUUUACGUUAAUAUGACAUGUCUCAUUUAAAAUAUUUUUUUUUUAAUUUUUGGGAGAGUUCUCAUAAAAUACCAACACUUAUUAUAUAAACUAACACAUUACUUAAAUAAAACCUAUAUUUUUUAAAGCAAUCCCACUUUGAGGUGAAAAGACACUUUGUUUAGAUGAAAAAUUGCAACUUUGACAUUAUUUUUUUCACCAUUUUAUUAUUAGUAGAUUAGUGAAAAUUUGAUUUGAAAAAUGUAUGGGAGAGACUAUUUAUAGAUUUUUUAAAGUCUAUUUGAAUAGUCACAACCCUUCAAUAUGAAUAGUUGCAUUCUUUUAACACUCACAACUUCUCAUUUUUUAAAAGAUACUAGUGAAUAGUCACAACUUUUAGACUAUUUUUAGAAGGACACAACCUUACAACAUAUAACUUUUAGAAAAGACACAACUCUCUACACAUAUUUUUCAAAAGACACAACCUUUCAACAUAAUUGAAGUUCACAACCUUAGGAAUUAAUUGGAAAAGACACAACCUUACUACAUAGAACUUUUAGAAAAGACACAACCCUUUACACUACUUUUUCAAAAGACACAACCUUUCAACAUAAGUGUAUUCACAACCUUAGAAAUUAAUUGUAAAAGACACAACCUUCCAACAUAGAACUUUUAGAAAAGACACAACCCUUUACACUUCUUUUUCAAAAGAUACAAUCUUUCAACAUAAGUGGACUCACAACCUUUAGAAUUAAUUGGGAUUGCUAUUAUUAGCAGAUAAGAAACUCUUGUGAGAAAGUGUACUGCUAAUGAUGCUCUUAGUGGGCGACACAUGUAGGGUCUUCUGAUGUCUUUCCCAAGUUAUACGUUUGAAAAAUCAAGUAACUUUAGCGCCAUUAAGUUCUCCAAUCAAAAAUAGCGUAGCUCUCUAUCUUUUUCCAAGUCACGUUGUGUGUGGUGACAUAUCUUUAUUUAUACCACCAACCCUCUCUCUCAUUUUUCUUAAACCAAAACAAUUCUUCUUCAAUACUUUUUCAUAAAGACCAUGUCUGAAUCCCAUUUGCAUUUGCAUUUUCUCUCGCUACUUUUGCUCUGUUAUGUCUCCCCUUCAAGCUUCUCCAGUUUAAACAUCGACUAUAGUAGCUAUGUUGCUUGUCGUCCCUAUCAAACUCAAGUUCUCACUGAGUUCAUGAACGAGUUUGAUAGCAGCCACUGCAACCUCAGUGAUCCCUAUAACAGAGUCUGGUGCGAUAACUCUACCGGUGCGGUCACAAUGCUACGACUAAGAGCCUGCCUCAGUGGAAACCUUAAGCCCAACAGUAGCUUAUUCAGGUUACAUCAUCUUCGUUACCUUGACCUCUAUCAAAACAACUUCAUCUCAGCUACACUUCCUUCUGAAUUUGACAAUCUCAACAGGUUAGAGGUCUUAUAUCUUUCCAAUAAUAGCUUUGUAGGCCAAGUUCCUUCCUCAUUUAAUAACCUAAGCCUUCUUUCCUAUUUAGACCUUUCCCAAAAUGAUCUCACCGGUAGUUUCCCACUCUUACGGAAUCUAUCAAAGCUCUCGUUUUUAGACCUUAACAAUAAUCAUUUCUCUGGAACUCUGAAUCCAAACAUUACUAGCCUGUUUGAGUUGUACAACCUCCGUUACCUUGAUCUAAGUUACAACAACUUCAGUUCAUCACUCCCUUCUGAGUUUGGAAAUCUCAACAAACUUGAGAUCUUGGCUCUUCAGUCCAGCGACUUUUUCGGGGAAGUUCCUCCCACAAUUAGUAACUUAACCUCGUUAACAGAAUUAUACCUUGAUGACAACCAGCUCACUGGUAGUUUCCCACUUGUGCAAAAUCUUACCAUGCUCUCCGUUAUAGAAAUCGCUGAUAAUCACUUCUCUGGAACCAUUCCUUCUUCUCUCCUCACUAUGCCUUCCUUAUUAGUUCUCAAACUGCGUGGAAAUAAUCUCACGGGAUCUAUUAAAUUUCCUAACUCCUCUACCCCGUCUAGGCUCGAGUACUUGUACCUUGGGAAAAACCAUUUCGAAGGAAAAAUCAUAGAGCCUAUCUCAAAGCUCAUCAACCUCAAGCUUCUUGACCUUUCUUUGCUAAACACAAGUUACCCGAUUGACUUAAACCUCUUCUCCUCUCUUGAAUCUUUGUUGCACCUUGAUCUUUCUGGUAACAGUAUAUCUCCAGCCAGUUUAGAUUCAAAGUCAGACAUCCCAAUAAACCUGGAGAUUUUGUGGUUACAAGGCUGCGGCAUCAAAGAGUUCCCAAAUAUCUUAAAGAUCCUUGAGAAGUUGGAGUAUAUAGACAUUUCGGGAAAUAUAAUCAAAGGAAAAGUCCCCGAGUGGCUAUGGAAGCUUCCUCGUCUAAACACCGUGUUUUUAACAAAUAACUCGUUUAAUGGUUUGGAAGGUCCAGUGGAUGUUUUGGUAAAUUCAUCUGUGAAGAAUUUAUUACUAGGGCAGAACCAUUUUGAAGGAACAAUUCCUCUCCUACCACUCUCUAUCAACGUCUUCUCUGCGUCAGGCAAUAGAUUCACAGGGAGCAUACCUCUUUCAAUCUGCAACUAUAGAUCUCUCACGCAAUUGAAGAUAGGUUACAACAACCUCACGGGUACAAUCCCUCAAUGCUUGAGUAACUUUACGUUUGUGAAUCUUCGGAAGAACAACUUGGAAGGGAGUAUUCCUGACGCCUUUCAUAUCAGUUCUUCUCUAAAGACACUUGACGUUGGACACAAUCUACUCACCGGGAAACUUCCAAGAUCUCUUCAAAAUUGCUCAUCUCUAGAGUUUCUGGUUGUUGACCACAACAGAAUCAAAGACAAGUUUCCUUUUUGGCUCAAGUCUUUAUCAAAUUUGGAAGUACUUAUCCUCAGUUCUAACAAGUUAUAUGGAUCUAUAUCUCUUCCUGGUCAAGGUCCUCUCGGGUUUCCAGAGUUACGUAUAUUUGAGAUAUCUGAUAAUAAGUUUACUGGAAGCUUGCCACCAAGAUAUUUUGAGAACUGGAAAGCGUCGUCACUUAUGAUGAACGAAGAUGGUGGUCUGUAUAUGGUAUACACAAAGGCUACUUCGGGGAGGCUGUCCUAUUUCAAUAUAGAAGCUAUAGAUUUGAAAUACAAAGGUCUAUCAAUGGAGCAAGGGAGGGUCCUUACCUCAUACGCCACUAUUGAUCUUUCUGGGAAUAGAAUUGAAGGACAGAUUCCUGAAUCAAUUGGUCUUUUGAAAGCAUUGAUUGCACUCAACUUAUCAAACAACGCCUUCACAGGCCAUAUUCCUCUGUCUCUCUCCAAUCUUGGCAAGCUCGAGUCACUAGACCUAUCAAGCAACCAACUCUCAGGGACUAUUCCUAAUGGAAUCGGGAGCCUCUCUUUUUUGGAGUACAUAAAUGUGUCUCACAACCAACUCAAGGGAGAAAUACCACAAGGAACACAGAUUACCGGCCAACCUAAGUCUUCAUUUGAAGGGAAUGCAGGGCUUUGUGGUCUUCCUCUCCAGGAAACUUGCUUUGGGACUAUUGCGCCACCAACACAGCAACCCAAGGAAGAAGAAGAAGGAGAAGAGGAAGAAGUGUUGAACUGGAAAAGCGUGGCAAUAGGGUAUGGAACUGGAGUGUUGCUUGGACUUGCAAUAGCACACCUCAUUGCAACAUAUAAACCGGAGUGGCUCGUUAAGAUAAUUGGUCCGAACAAGCGCAGAAGCCUUUAGGAGUGUUUUUAGUUUGAGUAUGAUAUGAACCUUCAAUGUAUGUCAAGUGGUUGAUGUGAUUCCUCUUGUAUGGAAGCAUCUCUUUAUGUUUGUUGUAUCAUUGUCUGAUGCUUUGUUUCUAUUUCGUUUUCUAUAAAAUAAGAAGGGUGAACGUUUUGUAGUCAAUUUCAUGUGCAUCUCUCUUUUUUUUCCUCUACUGAGUAAAAUGGCAGACGGAAGGAAGAUGGUAAAAGGGGGUCAUAUUGGGAUUUAGUAGUAUUCAAUAAGAAGAAGCCAAUAAACUGUUGAGACCUAAUGGGAUAGAGACAACUAAUAUAUUAAAUGGCCGUUUUGUAUAGAAAGCUUUGUGAUUAUGUCACUUAUUAAUUUGAAGUUGCCUGUAAGAAAAUGAUUGCUGUAGAAAGAAAUUUGAGAAAGUUUCAGAUCAGAGAGAUUGUCAGAACAGGAAAGGUAGUGGAUUGUUGGACUAUAUGACUUUCUGAAAAUCAUGUUAUCAUCCAGUUUCUGCUUUCUACUACAUCUUUGAGUGGACAUAAACACAUAGAUCUCCUGGACUUUCCUUAACUUUUGGAAUAUGGAAUGAUGAUUUUUAAUAACAGAUAGCACUGAGAAGGGAAAAGAUGGGUGCUACUGCUCCAUUUUGGCGAUUCUCAGCAGCUUCCUAUCCAGAUCUCAAGGAGCAAGCACCUGGUCAGUGUGAGAGAGAUAAGAACAAUGCCUGAAUGUUGUAUCCCCUGGUCUCACAUAGUAUUUUUUACUGACACACUGACCAAUCUUCUUUUUCUAUUUUUUUUUGGUUUAGAGUUUGGCUGUAGGACAUGCUGAAACAGAGGGAAUUUCACGCAUUACAACAGUUGUUCCUGCGACAGAUGAAUCAGUCAGCAAAUUGGUGCAGCAACUUUACAAACUCAUAGAUGUGCAUGAGGUUAGGAUAAAAAAAAAAUCAAUUGUCUUUAGGAUUAUAUAUAACAGUUUGAAUGCUCUUGUUGACUCUACCCUUUGCUCUUUUACCUUUUGCUAUUUCUGUUAACUGCAGGUCCAUGCUCUUACUCAUAUGCCAUUUGCUGAAAGAGAACUGAUGCUGAUUAAGAUUGCUGUGAACGCUGCUGCGAGAAGAGAUGUCCUGGACAUUGCUAGUAUUUUCAGGGCUAAAGCUGUUGACGUUUCCGACCAUACAAUUACUUUGCAGGUAGAUUGCAUUCAUCAUUAACUGGAUUUCUAUUUGAGGUGUAGUUGCACAUCACAUGAAAUAUCUUUAUCCAUUGGAGUACCGUUUGACAUAAUCUAUGAAGCAGACUUCAGUUUUCCAUCCGAAUCCCUUUCUCCCUUAGUUUUUUUUUGGUAUUUGUUGCUGAAAAUUGUUUGCUGUGGAAUUACCUUACUGGGGAUCUUGACAAGAUGGUUGCACUACAAAGGUUGUUGGAGCCCUACGGUAUAUGCGAGGUUAGUUUUCAUCUCUUACUAGAUGUUAUAAUCUUGGCGCUAAUAAAUAAGUCUGGUAAAAUAAAAAACCAAAGCCUGACACAUUUUUCUAAUGUCUUCUGAACAAAAAUCAGUUUGAGAAGUGUUGUUGUUACUUGUAUUAUAACUUGUACAUCGUGUUGAUCUUUACUAAUGAACAAUCAAUCAAUCACAGGUUGCAAGAACAGGGCGUGUGGCGUUGGCUCGUGAAUCAGGAGUGGACUCUAAGUAUCUUCGUGGAUACUCUUUUCCCUUAACAGGUUAACAAGUCAAUCGCAGAGUUGGAUACAAAACCUGUAUCCAUGGAACAGAUUUUUGAAGAUAAAAGUUUCAUCAAAUAUUUUGCAAGCCAACCAAAGUCUAGCCAGAGAGAGACUGUGUGUAGAUAUGUUUGGGACUUUGUUUAUUUUAUAAUUAGCAGAUUUUUGAAUUUUGUGACUUCAUUUCAGUUCAUUUAUUUUGAGAAUAAACUGUUGUUGGGAUUAAUAUUACUGUGAUGAUAUCUAACAGCAUAGUUUCUUAGUGGGCAAUUUUUUCAAAUAGUCAUUGUUAAAUUUUGGUCACCAAAAUAGCUCUGAAAAAAAAAAUCAAAUCACUAUUUUUUAUUUUGAAAAUUUUAAUUUUAAUUUGAAACCCAAUCUUCUAAACUCCAUUUUUAACUCUGAACUUUAAAUUUUAACGGGCAAUUGUCAAUAAUAGCACAUUUUGAAGUUUAUGUCUCAAAAAUAGCACUAGAAGGAGAAAGUCACAAAAAUGACAUUCAUUAAAGGGUAAAAUGUCCAUAAUAUCCUUGGUUUAAAUUAAAUAAACAAACAAAAAUAAAAAAAAAAUAAAUAAAAAAUAAAAAAUAAAAAUAAAUUUUUUUAUAGUUUCAGAUUAUAUGUUUUCAGAUUCGAAAUUUUUAUAAUUUUUUUUUUAAAAAAAAUUUUGAAUUUUUUUGAAUUUUUUUUCAAAUUUUAUUUUUAUAGUUUAAAAAUAAUUUUUGAAACUGUUUUAAAAAUUUUUAUUUUUUAUUUUAGUAUUUGUUUUUUAUAAAAUUUUAAACCCUAAUUCCAAAACCCCACCCCCUUAACUCUAAACCUUAAGGUUUGGAUUAAUUAACCCAAGGGGUAGAAGUGUAUAUUUACCUCUUUAAUGAAACCUAUUUUUGUGACUUUGAACUUUGAGUGCUACUUUGGGAACAAAAACUUGGUUUGAUGAUAUCCUAGUCUUUUUCUCAAUUCUAAAUUUAGAUUAAUUAACUCUAAGGAUAUGAAUGUAUAUUUAUUUUUUAAUAAAAUAUUUUUAGUUAUUUUCUUCUUUUAAGUGCUAUUUUUAUUUAAAAAAAAACUAAAAAACGUUGUUUUAUGGAGUUUUUCUUUCUUAAUUCCUACAGAAAAAUUACGAGAGAAAAGAAUAACUACAGAAAAAUCUCACCAGAAUACUUGGACUCUUAAAUCAUGUCAUCUUUCUAUUGGUACAAUUAUUUUUAAAGUAUUUACGUAACUAAAUCAUUUUGGAAUAUCAAUAUACUAAAGUUCAGAAAUUCAUUUGGAAAAUAUCCUUUAGUAAUGAUGCUUAAAUUAGGGCUUGGCACAAGGUGGUUACUCGCUAUUUUAGUUGCACUUGGGAUUUGACUUUCUUUGUACGAGUGAUAAAAUUUUCGACUUGUACUUAAUUUGUUAAAAAUGAAUACUUGAUCAAAAAUGAAUUACUUGCAAGUUAUUUACCUGGCUUUAUUAUUUAUUAUUUACAAGCACUUGUGAACUAUUUACAAGUUUUUUCGAGUAUUUAAGAACUACUUGCUAAAUAAUAAUCUAUUAGAAAUAGACAUGAAAGUUUGUUUUAUUUAUUCUACUUAACAUAACAUCUUAAUUACUUUAAACGAAAUAUUUGUUCAUAUAUAAAGAAGAAAAAAAAAAUAUAUAUGAAUAUAUCAAUAUAUAAACAUUGCAUAAUUUUUAUGAUGACAAAAAUGUCUUUUCUAAACAAGUAACAUAUAAUAACAAGUCAUGUAGUUAAGUUUUUAAUACUUGUUACUAUAUAAUACUUAACGAGAUGAUGAGGAAUAUUUAAAAAUCUUGAUCAAGACAUAUAUGAAAUAAGUAAUAAGUAUAAGAAGAGUAAUGAGUGUUUGUGUCCAAUUCUAAAUACAACUAAAAGAAAAGACAAAUAUAAAUAAGUAUUUAAUAGAUCAUAUAACAAAUAGUAAUGAGGCAAGUAACGAAUCAAGUACUAAAAAUAAUAAUGAUACUUGAUACUUGACUUGGUUUUGGAAGUAAUAAAAAUUGUCGACUUGUUACUUGCUUUGGCAACACCGAAUACUUGAAUUUUUAAGGCGGGUACGAGUCAAGUAACAAAUUUAAGUAAUGAUGUUCAACCCUAGAUUUAAUGACUUAAAAGCACAGAUGGGACUGAUUUUGUAAAUGUUUUGGAUUGGAGAGUCAAAUUAAAGCAUUGACUGAACCGGUUAUGUUAUUGAUAAUAUGUCCAUACUUAUCUUCUAGUAAGAAAUUUGAUUUGCUUACGGUAUUAAAUUAUGUAUUUAGAAAAAUAAAACAGACCCAACGGGACUUAGUGUCUCUUCGGAACAGUAAAAAUAUAUUAAAUUCGGCUCCAAAGCAGAACAAAUCCCACAAAUAUACAAAGUAACGUCACUGGUUCCACCAGCAACACCAUAUAGACCACUGUAAUCGAUUUGCAAUACCACAGAAAGAUACAUACAUAUCUAUGACUACAAAAUUAGUUCGCCUUGGAAACUGUUACGCGAAUACAAGGCAUAAGAGAAUCAUAUAUCUACACAAAAUUGGUGAAUUCAUAACAGAGCAACUAUACAAUAAUGUUUAUGCUUUACUCCAAAUCUAAAGCUUUCCUCAUCUUAGAGACUCUCAAUAUUCUUGUAUUUAAGGCUCACACGACUCAGUCCACACCAAACCUCCAGGAAUCUCGAAAAACACCAAAGGAGAUAGAAGAAUCAAUAAAGAUGUUUACAACCCAAAAAAAAGAAUCACAAAGAUGUACCCGCUAAUUCACACGACAAUACAACAGACAGACACCAAAAAACCUAGUGAACAAGUCUCUUGUGAUUAUAAUAUUGGAAACAAUAAAGUAAGAGAGAGAGGGCGAUAAAAAGAACAGAAAGUUGAGCGACGUCUCUUGUACGUGGAACUUUAAGGAAAAGAUGAGAGACUCUUUGUAAUGUGUUUCAUUGUUUAUUGGUUCAUAUUCUCUAUGUUUUUUUUUGUAUCAAAUCUUAUAUGUUUAUAUUUAAUUGUAAAGUAAUUACUUAAUAUUAUAUAGAUAAAAACUCUUGUGAGAAGUGUACCGCUAAUGAUGCACACAAGUUAUACGUUUGAAAAAAUCAACUAACUUUAGCGCCAUUAAGUUCUCCAAUCAAAAAUAUAAAAAAGACUUCACGUAGCUCUCUAUCUUUUUCCAAGUCAAGUUGUGUGUGGUUACAUAUCUUUAUUUAAACCACCAACACUCUCUCUCAUUUUUCUUAAACCAAAACAAUUCUCUUCUUCACUACUAAUUCAUAAAGACCAUGUCUGAAUCCCGUUUGCAUUUGCAUUUUCUCUCGCUACUUUUGCUCUGUUAUGUCUCCCCUUCAAGCUUCUUUAACUUAAACAUCGAUUACAGUAGCUAUGUUGCUUGCGGUCCCCAUCAGACUCAAGUUCUCACUGAGUUCAUGAACGAGUUUGAUAGCAGCCAGUGCAACCUCAGUGAUCCCUAUAACGGAGUCUGUGCGAUAACUCGACUGGUGCGGUCACAAUGCUACGACUCCAGGCGUGUCUCAGCGGAACUCUAAAGCCCAAUAGUAGCCUCUUCAGGUUACACCAUCUUCGUUACCUUUGCACUCAUUCAAAACAACUUCAUCUCAGCUACAAUUCCUUCAGAAUUUGGGAAUCUCAGCAGGUUAGAGGCCUUAUCUCUUAGGAAUAAUAGCUUUGUAGGCCAAGUUCCUUCCUCAUUUAACAGCCUAAGCCUUCUUUCCGUUUUAGAACUUUCCCUAAACGAGCUCACUGGUAGUUUCCCACUUGUGAGGAAUCUAACAAAGCUCUCGGCUUUAAGCCUUGCUGCGAAUCAUUUCUAUGGAACUCUGAAUCCUAAGAGUACUAGCCUGUUUGAGUUGCGCCACCUCCGUUACCUUGAUCUAAGUCAAAACAACUUCACCUCAUCACUCCCUUCUGAAUUUGGAAAUCUCAACAGACUAGAGAUCUUGGCUCUUUCCUCCAAUGACUUUUUCGGGCAAGUUCCUCCCACAAUUAGUAACCUAACCUCGUUAGAGGAAUUGAACCUUCACCACAACCAACUCACUGGUAGUUUCUCACUUGUUCAAAACCUAACCAUGCUUUCAGUUAUAGCAAUCAAUCAUAAUCACUUCUCUGGAGCCAUUCCAUCUUCUCUCUUCACCAUGCCUUUCUUAUCAUAUCUCGAUAUGGGAGACAACGAUCUCACUGAUUCUGUUGAAGUUUACAACUCCUCAUCUACCCUGUCUAGGCUCGAGUACUUGUCCCUUGGGAAUAACCAUUUUGAAGGAAAAAUCAUAGAGCCUAUCUCAAAGCUCAUCAGCCUCAAGAUUCUUGACCUUUCUUUCCUUAACACAAGUUACCCGAUUGAUGUAAGCCUCUUCUCCUCGCUGAAAUAUUUGGUGGACCUUGAUCUUUCCGGUAAUAGUAUAUCUCCGGCCAGUUUAGGUUCAAAUUUAGACAUCCCAAUAAACCUGGAGAUUUUGUUGUUACGAGGUUGCGGCAUCAAAGAGUUCCCAAAUAUCUUAAAGAUCCUUGAGAAGUUGGAGAAUAUAGACUUGUCCGACAACAUAAUCAAAGGCGAGGUCCCGGAGUGGUUAUGGAAGCUUCCUCGUCUAAACACAGUGUUUCUUUCAAAUAAUUCUUUUAAUGGUUUGGAAGGUCCAGUGGAUGUUUUGGUAAAUUCAUCUGUGAAGAAUUUAUUUAUGGAGCGAAACUAUUUUAAAGGAGCAGUUCCUAUUCUACCACUCUCCAUCAACAACUUUGCUGCGACAAUCAAUAGAUUCACAGGGAGCAUACCUCUUUCAAUCUGCAAUUGUAGGUCGCUUACGCAUUUAUGGCUUCCUUACAACAACCUCACGGGUCCAAUCCCUCAAUGCUUGAGUAACUUGACGGUUUUGAAUCUCCGGAAGAACAACUUGGAAGGAAGUAUCCUUGAGGCAUUUUAUGUCGGUGCUUCUCUACAAACACUUGAUGUUGGACACAAUCGACUAACCGGGAAACUUCCAAGAUCUCUUCAGAAUUGUUCAUCUCUCGAGUUUCUAGCUGUUGACCACAACAUAAUCAAAGACAAGUUUCCUUUUUGGCUCAAGGCUUUACCAAAUUUGCAAGUCCUUAUCCUCAGUUCAAACAAAUUCUAUGGAUCUAUAUCUCCUCCUGGUCAAGGUCCUCUCGGGUUUCCAGAGCUGCGUAUAUUUGAGAUAGCUGAUAAUAAGUUUACUGGAAGCUUGCCACCGAGAUACUUUGUCAAAUGGAAAGCAUCGUCCCUUAUGAUGAAUGAAGAUGGUGGUCUAUAUAUGGUAUACACGAAAAGGACUUCCGGGAGACUGUCAUAUAUGGAUAUAGAAGCUAUAGAUUUGAAAUACAAAGGUCUAUCAAUGGAGCAAGGGAAGGUCCUUACCUCAUACGCCACUAUUGAUUUUUCUGGGAACAGAAUUGAAGGACAGAUUCCUGAAUCAAUUGGUCUCUUGAAAGCACUGAUUGCACUCAACUUAUCCAACAAUGCCUUCACAGGUCAUAUUCCUCUGUCUUUCUCCAAUCUGGGAAAGCUAGAGUCACUAGACCUAUCAAGAAACCAACUCUCCGGGACUAUUCCAAAUGGACUUGGGACCCUCUCCUUUCUGGCGUACAUAAAUGUGUCUCACAACCAACUCAAGGGUGAAAUACCACAAGGAACACAGAUUACCGGCCAACCUAAGUCUUCAUUUGCAGGGAAUGCAGGCCUUUGUGGUCUUCCUCUCCAGGAAACUUGCUUUGGGACUAUUGCGCCACCAACACAACAACCUCCGGAAGAAGAAGAAGGAGAAGAGGAAGAAGUGUUGAACUGGAAAUGUGUGGCAAUAGGGUAUGGACUUGGAGUGUUGCUUGGAUUGACAAUAACACACCUCAUUGCAACAUAUAAACCGGAGUGGCUCGUUAAGAUAAUUGGUCCGAACAAGCGCAGAAACCGUUAGGAUUGUUUUCAGUUUGAGUAUGAUCCUUCAAUAUAUGUCAAGUGGUUGAUGUGAUUCAUCUUUGUAUGGAAGCAUCUCUUUAUGUUUGUUGUAUCAUUAUCUAAUGCUUAAUUUGUUCUAUUUCGCUUCUUUUUAUGAAGUAAUAAUUGUGUAUGUUUUUUGUCAUCUCAUAUGAAUUUAUGUUUUUUUUUCUACUGAGUAAAGUGGCAGAAUCAAGGAAAAUGGUGAAAUGGGAUCAAUCGCAUUUCGGUAAGAAGAAGCCAAGAAACUGUUGAGACCUAAUAUAUAUGAUGAUGCAUCAGCCAAAAGUUAAGUUGAAAUGGAAUAUAAAGACAACUAAUAAAUUACUCAAAUAGCAAAAAUCUUAUAGUAACAAGAGUGGGAUGCAGUGAUUAUUGGCUAUGUCUUGGAUUCACGAUAGCACAAAUCACUUACUCAUACACACUAAGGGGGUUAUUGGAACAUGAAUUUCGAUGAAAUUUGAUGAUUUUAAUAGUUGAGACUUGAAAGGAUUUUACAAGUUAACUAGAUUUAACAAAUUUUAUAAAAUACUUUUACAUAGAUUUUCAUUACUUGUGUAUAGAAUUCUAUUGAUUGUUAUUAACUUUUAAAGUAAGAAACUAAUGGUGCUAGAAAAAAAGGAAAGAAAAUCAUUUCAAUUAAGGCAAUUCUUACACAAUUUAUUUAAAAUAUUUUGUCACAAAAAAGAUCUCAAGAAAUAAAUUGACCAAAAUUUUAAUUUCUACUUCUUACUUAAUAGGUAUAUAAAUAAUAAAAAAUAAAAAUAUUUUUAUAUAAUUUCGAAAUAUAUGUUUAAAUUUAAAUUUUUGUAAAAAUAUUUUGAAUUAUUAUUUUUUAAAUUUUUUUUAUAAAAAAUUCGAAAGUGCUUUUUAAAACUAUUUUUACAAUUUUUAUUUUAAAUUUUUAAUAUUUUUUUCUAUUAUUUUAAAUUGUGAAUUGUAAUAUAUUAAAGUUGUGAUUUGUAUAUUAUUUUAUUCUUCAAUUUCAGUUUUUGUAUGUGAGUUAUUACAUUGAUUUCAAAAAUCUUAUGGGUAUAGAUGAUAUUUUUAAAGUGGAGUAUUAUGAGUAAAAACAAAGAAAAAUUACAUCCCAAUAACAAUAGAUUUUAAUAGAAUCUUAAAAUCAAUGAAAACUAAAUUUUUCUAAUAACAAAGGAUUUUGAGUGGAAUUUAAAAAUCAUCACCCCAAUAACAAUAAAUUUUUUAAGAUUUUAAAAAUUCACAAAUCAAUAACAAUGUAAUCUCAAAAUUUAAUAAUUUCUCUACAAUUCUUUGCCCAAUAAUCCCCCUAAGAGCACCCCCAUUGAGGGUUCAUGGGGGGAGUUCACACAAAAACCAAGAAAAAAAAAUAAUAAAAUAAUUCAAUCCCAUGAACCCUCUCUCUCCUAAAGUUCUCUUGGUUGAACCCCUCUCUCCUAAAGUUCAUCACUGUAGUGCGGGCCCCACGUGUCGUGGCGGCCCGCGAUUGGUCUAACUUUUUUUUUUUUUUUUUUUUUUAAAAAAAAACCAAAAAGAAAAAGAAACAAAUUUUAAUAAUAAAAAACUAAAAAGAUGAACCCCAAGAGGGGGUUCAUUGAUGUGGAUGCUCUAAGGGUUGCUCGUCAGUCCUAGUAACUUUUAUGAUUUUUUUUUUGGUUUUGCAUUGAAUCUUUAAAGGUUUAUUUAGUAAACAUAUGAACUAAAUAUUUAUCCAGUGCUAUGUUCUGAUUUCUUGUCAUUUAAAUUAAGAAAGCUGAAUCUUCUCUAGUCUUUUUUAUAUUUACACAUCUCUAAUAGAAGAGAACACAGACACGUACAAGUUUACAUAUAUAUACAUAUACAUCUCUAGUGUUCUUUUAUCUUGUCGCACAAAAAAAAGUCUUCUUUUAUCUUAUAUAUGUAUAUACAUUUCUAGUCUUUUUAUCUCAUCCUCAUCUAGGUCCUCUGGGGUUCCCUGAGCUAUGAAUACUUGAUAUCUGAUACAAGGGUGUCCCUGAUAUGUUGGGGGCCAAAAGCAAUUUGUAAGAGUUUUAAAAACAUUUUUUUUUUACAAAUUUGAGAAUUUUUUCUAUGUAAUUUUUUUUAAAAAAUUUGAAGGUUCUAUGCCAAUGUUUCACUUUGAUAUGCUCAGAACCAUCUCUAUGCUCAGGACCAUCUCUGAUCUGAUAGUAAGUUUUUUGGAAUUAGAAAACAUAAUCACUUAAAAUGAAUAGCAAAUAGUGGCCUAUAUAUGGUAAUCAAAACGACUGGUUACAAGGUGAUUUCCCACACCUAUACAUACUUUACAGAUUUGGAAUACAAAGUCUGAAGUGGAGCAAGCCAUUUCUCACAAGGUGAAUUCCUCACUUCCUGAAUCUAUUGGUCUCUUGAAUAAACAGACUGCCCCCAACUCGAGUCAGUUCACUCUUGAUAGACGAAAAAAAGCAGACGCCAGAGAACUUAACGCUUAAAAAAUGCCACUACUAGAAGAGAAGACAGAUACAUACAAAAUAAAAGCUUUUUUUUUGUAACAAAAAUUUCAUUAAUUCAAAUCUAAAGCGUUUUGACGACUACAACCUCCGGUUGUACUUCCGGUUGUAGUCGAUGAACAACAAUAACAGAAAAACAAUACAGCAUGGGAUAGAAGUGUUGAUACAUCAAAGUCAACUUGGCUUGACUUAAGCAGAGGAUUGAAACAGUCUUGGGUUUAAAAUAUAAACCAAGAGAUGUAGCAAUAAGUAAAAAAAGAUGAAAACAUCGAAUCCGAAUAAUCACAGAGUUGUAAUCCGUUAAUUCACAUAUAUAUCUCCACCCGACAUUUGCUGAUGACGCGUUUAGUGUGUGGCACGCACGUGUAAGGGUGUUUGUUAGCUACGCCAUAGCGUGUGACCACUUUGGUCUUUGACUGGCCCUCAAGUUACCAAGUCUUGAAACAUGCCAAUUCACUAUAUGUGAACAUAUGUGAGAAAUUUCAAAAUUGAUGUCUUUCCAAUCCACGUUUUUCACUUCAUGAUUUGAAUGGCAAUUAGCCACUUAGCCAUACUGUACCCCAACCCAAAAUACAAAAACUUCUAAAUCAAAUUGUAUGGGUGAAAUAGCUUCAGUUGAAACCCACGUAUCUUUUAUUUAUACCACCAACCUUGCCUCUCAUUCCAAAAUAAAUCUUCUUCAAAAAAAUUUCAUAAAGACCAUGUCUGAAUCACUUAUACGCUUGCAUUUUCUCUCGCUAAUCUUGCUCUGCUGUGUCUUCCCUUCAAGAUCCUUCGAUUUACCUAUCGAUAAUAGUACUUAUGUUGCUUGUGUUGGAACUAUUUUUUGAACAUUAUGAAUAAUGUAUUCAUAUGUCAAAAAAGAAGUUUUAUUUGAAUGAGAAAUGGAGGUCUAAUGUGUAUGAUUUGAAAAACUUGUAUAAAGUAGCAAAUACACACAUUGGAUAUUUGAAAUUGGAUUUGGGUUUUUUGAUUUGUUAGUUGGACUUCAUGUUCAUUGACUUAAUCUUAUAAACCAAAUAUAUGUUGAUCUUUUAUAUUGAUAAAAUAUAAAAAAGAAAUCCAUUUUAAAGUAUAUUAUUUUGUUUGAAUUGGUCAAAACAAUAAUAAUUUUAUUCUUUAAUUUCUUGGUCAAAAUGUGGAAUAAAUUCACAUAAUAAUGACAAGAAUUAAAAAACUCCAUUAGUGCACUAUGGAGGUUUCAUUUUUGUGUUGAAAAAUGAAACUUGUGCUUCUCAUUAUAUUUCUAUAUAAAGGCUUGUGAGCCAUUUAGAAAACAUACACAUUCAUACAAUCAAGAACAUUUCUCCCACUCAGAAUAGUUAUGCUAGUAUUUUUUAUUCUUUUCAGUCUGAGAGUACAUCACAGAAAUAGGUUCGAUAGAUUCUGUUUUUCGGUGAUGGUAAACAGAAACAAUGCUGCAGUUGUAUCUUGGGAAUCUGAGCGCCAUAAAACCGUCACACUACGGGGCGUUUAAAGAUUUAAGGAAAGAGAUUAACUAUCUCGACUCUGCAAUUCUUCUUUAUUUUUAUAUUUUGGUAUUGAAAUUUUAGUUUAUGUUCUUAUUAUUCUUUACAAAUAUCAGUUGUCCUAUGGUAGUAAAAUAAGGUUCCUACACUCUUAAAUCUUUAAAUAUUGUUUAUGCUUUUGCACUAACAAUACUGAUAUUUGUUAAAAGUUAUUGUUUUUUUUAAGAACAGGUUAAUCGACGGUAUCGAAACAAAAUCUGGAUUUGUGUUUUCUUCAACCAGCUUUUGAGAUUGUGUAAAGCUUGUGUUCUUGAGCUAACAUUAUUUUUUGCAGGAUCGGUUGAAUUAUUUAAAAUAAUUCUCCUGCACUUACGUGUUUCGGUUGUGAUUUGCAUGAUUUAUUGAUUAUUAGUUUUAUUCCUGUUCAGUCAAUAGCAGUGAUCGAUCUUGUUUUCAGCACUAAUGAUAGUAACACUGGUUUAAGUUUUAUGAAACUAGUCAACAGGUGCUGAUCGUGGGUUCUAGCAAUCGAACGGGAAGAUAAAUUGCAGGUUGUGGUGUUUGAUUAUUGAUUAUAUUAAAUUGCAAAAUUUGAUGAUUUAAAAAAAAAUUAUGUCAGUUUUUUAUCAUUUUCAAUAUGUUUUUUGAAAAGAAAAAGAGAAAAAAAAAACUGAUGUAGAUUUUAUAUCCAACCGUUACAAAUUGCAAAGGAAAAAGGUUUAUUGCUUUUGGUCAAAGAUAUGUUUUAACUAUUGAUAUUUAAUUAGUAAAACAAUAUGUGGAAUAAAACGUUUUUCUGGAUUACUUAUUGUGAAGUUGUUGUUUAAACUUUAUUAGUCAUAUGUUUGGUAUUGAGUAGUAUAUUAAUCUGGGUUUGGUUUCUAGUGAACAAACCCAUAUGACAAUAUAGCUAAACCAAAGUGAUUAAUAAAAUCUCGAUUUUUAAGAGAUCAAAUGAUAUAUAUAUGGAAAUGGAUUUAGUGAGUCGACGCCCCAAAUUAAGUUUGGGAGAGGUCUGCCACAUAUAAAUCAUUUGCCAUAGGAAAUAAAAUGUUUGUUGAUAUUGGUCAUAAACAUUUAUAUUUCAUCAAUGCUUAAAUGCAAGUUACAAGAAGAUUGACCAUGCAAAAACAAUGAUAAUUUUCAGACCAAUAUGAUUGAAACUGACAUGUGUAUUGUAGUUUAUAAAGUCAAUAUGGUUGAAAAUAAUCAUAUAUAAUGGUGGUUUUGAUGACACAAAUAAUAUCUUGUGUAUAUUUGUUAAAAAAGCAAAAUAUGUGUUUGGAAAAGAUCCAAAACAUACAAGUUAGAUUUAUAAAUCAACUUGAGAGAACUAUGAAAAUAGUUGUAUGUAAAAUGUGAAUUUCUAAGAAUGAAACACAUUUUUUCAAGAAAAUUGUAAUAAUUUUUGAAAUUGCUUUUAAUUCAUUUAAAUCUAAAGGAGUUGUAGAUUAAUUUUCUAAACUCUUAAGAGAUGUUAAAUGUAAUUAUGCAUGUUUUGAGCUAUCUCAAGAAAUGUGGGGGAAGCUUUGCUUACCAUAUAAAGUCGUUGGCAAGAGGUCAUAUGAACUUAGUGAUAGUUAUCACAAUAUAAUUUUUUUUUAUUAAAAAAAAAAAACAAGCUAGUGUCAUACACUGAGUUUUGUGUAUAAUGGUUAAUUGUAUCUUGAAUAAAAGAUGACAAAAAUCAUUAGACAAUUGAUCUCCACUAAUCUCAAGAGAUUAUGUUCACUAUGGUGACAACCUAGGAUCCUUUAAUUAAAGGUGUGUCAUGAGAUCAAAUUGUUAUAUCAUCAAAAGGAAUGGGUCGCCUGUGAAUUAAGAUGAGGUUUCGCGGUAACUCUACCUAACUGACUGGAGAUCCCAAGAAAUAGGUUCAAGGAGACAACUAAGUGAAACUAAGUCUGUCCAAAGCACUGUAAGACUUCGGUCUAUACCCAGUUCCUAUGAUGAUUAAACAGUGCUACAUGUAAAGAAUACAGGAUAAGCAUUAGCUUUUAAUGAUUUGUGUCCAUAGCUUUGAGAUAUGAAUGGAGUAGUACAUGAUACUCCUCUAAACAAAGUUAAUGGCAAAUCACCUUGUGAGUGUGAAAUGGGGCCGUUUCUAGGAGAAUGAAGGAAAGGCUAUAUUCUCCAAGUUCACUCAUGAUUAACCAAGACUGUUCACGGCCAAAAUGAACACAAUAGAGAACCUAGUUCUGUGAGAGAAUGAAGCUGUGUUAUGGCUAUUGUCUAGGUUUAUACCAAAGCCCGGGAGGUUCAAGACAUCAUGGCCACCUCCUGGCCGAGUAAAUCCGAUAGCUAUUAACAAUGACUGGUUCAAGGCUGAAAAAUUGCUACCAACUCAUCAUGCAGUGGAUUUUUCGUUUGUACUCUCAAAAGUCCUUAGUUAGGUCUUGUCGAGUCUUGUCUAGGAAGUUGAGUCUUGUCUAGAAAGUCUGUCGAGUCAUCUAGUGUCUAGAGUCAUUUCUAUUCAUGUGGGGGAUUGUUGGAACUAUUUUUUGAACAUUAUGAAUAAUGUAUUCAUAUGUCAAAAAAGAAGUUUUAUUUGAAUGAGAAAUGGAGGUCUAAUGUGUAUGAUUUGAAAAACUUGUAUAAAGUAGCAAAUACACACAUUGGAUAUUUGAAAUUGGAUUUGGGUUUUUUGAUUUGUUAGUUGGACUUCAUGUUCAUUGACUUAAUCUUAUAAACCAAAUAUAUGUUGAUCUUUUAUAUUGAUAAAAUAUAAAAAAGAAAUCCAUUUUAAAGUAUAUUAUUUUGUUUGAAUUGGUCAAAACAAUAAUAAUUUUAUUCUUUAAUUUCUUGGUCAAAAUGUGGAAUAAAUUCACAUAAUAAUGACAAGAAUUAAAAAACUCCAUUAGUGCACUAUGGAGGUUUCAUUUUUGUGUUGAAAAAUGAAACUUGUGCUUCUCAUUAUAUUUCUAUAUAAAGGCUUGUGAGCCAUUUAGAAAACAUACACAUUCAUACAAUCAAGAACAUUUCUCCCACUCAGAAUAGUUAUGCUAGUAUUUUUUAUUCUUUUCAGUCUGAGAGUACAUCACAGAAAUAGGUUCGAUAGAUUCUGUUUUUCGGUGAUGGUAAACAGAAACAAUGCUGCAGUUGUAUCUUGGGAAUCUGAGCGCCAUAAAACCGUCACACUACGGGGCGUUUAAAGAUUUAAGGAAAGAGAUUAACUAUCUCGACUCUGCAAUUCUUCUUUAUUUUUAUAUUUUGGUAUUGAAAUUUUAGUUUAUGUUCUUAUUAUUCUUUACAAAUAUCAGUUGUCCUAUGGUAGUAAAAUAAGGUUCCUACAGCUUGUGGUCCCCAUCAGACUGAUCAAGCUCUCACUGAGUUCAUGAACGAGUUUGAUAGCAGUCGCUGCAACCUCACUGAUCCCUAUAAUGGAGUCUGGUGCGAUAACUCGACUGGUGUGGUCACAAAGCUACAACUCAGAGAAUGCCUCAGUGGAAACCUCAAGCCCAAUAGUAGCCUAUUCAGGUUACACCAUCUUCGUUAUCUUAGCCUCCGUCAUAACAACUUCAACCCAUCUUCACUUCCUUGGGAAUUUGGCAAUCUCAGCAGGUUAGAGUACUUAUCUCUUACGAAUAAUAGCUUUGUAGGCCAAGUUCCUUCCUCAUUUAAUAGCCUAAGCCUUCUUUCCCAUUUAUCUCUUUCCCAAAACGAGCUCACUGGUAGUUUCCCACUUGUAAGGAAUCUAACAAAGCUCUCGUUUUUAAGCCUUGAUAAUAAUCAUUUCUAUGGAACUCUGAAUCCCAACAGUACUAGCCUGUUUGAGUUGCACCACCUUCGUUACCUUUUACUAAGUUACAAUAACUUCAAUUCCUCAAUUCCUUCUGAAAUUGGAAUCCUCAACAGACUAGAGGUCUUUUCUCUUUCCUUCAAUGACUUUUCCGGGCAAGUUCCUCCAACAAUUAGUAACCUAACCUCGUUAACCGAAUUAUACCUUAUACACAACCACCUCACUGGUAGUUUCCCACCUGUACAAAAUCUUACCAUGCUCUCUAUUCUAUAUCUUACCGUGAAUCACUUCUCUGGAACCAUUCCAUCCUCUCUCUUCACCAUGCCUUCCUUAUCAAUUCUCGGUCUGAGAGAAAAUGAUCUCACCGGAUCUAUUGAAUUUCCUAACUCCUCUACCCCAUCUAGGCUCGAGUUCUUGUACCUUGGGAAUAACCAUUUUGCAGGAAAAAUCAUAGAGCCUAUCUCAAACCUCAUCAACCUCACACACCUAGACCUUUCUUUCCUAAACACAACCUAUCCAGUUGACUUAAACCUCUUCUCCUCUCUCAAAUCUUUGUUGCACCUUGAUCUUUCUGGUAACAGUAUAUCUCCAGCCAGUUUAGAUGAUACAAAUUUAGACAUCCCAAUAAACCCGGAGAUUUUGUUGUUACAAGGCUGCCGCAUCACUGAGUUCCCAAAUAUCUUAAAGAUCCUUGACAAGUUGGAGUUUAUAGACUUGUCCGACAACAUAAUCAAAGGCAAGGUCCCCGAGUGGUUAUGGAAGCUUCCUCGUCUAAACACAGUGUUUCUUUCAAAUAAUUCUUUUAAUGGUUUGGAAGGUCCAGUGGAUGUUUUGGUAAAUUCAUCUGUGAAGAAUUUAUUUAUGGAGCGAAACUAUUUUGAAGGAGCAGUUCCUAUUCUACCACUCUCUAUCAACGCCUUUUUUGCGUCAGGCAAUAGUUUCACAGGGAGCAUACCUCUUUCAAUCUGCAGCUAUAGAUCUCUCACGCAAUUGAUGCUAGGUUACAACAGCCUCACGGGUCCAAUCCCUCAAUGCUUGAGUAACUUUACAUUUGUGAAUCUUCGGAAGAACAACUUGGAAGGGAGUAUUCCUGACGCCUUUCAUAUCAGUUCUUCUCUACAAUCACUUGAUGUUGGACACAAUCUACUCACCGGGAAACUUCCAAGAUCUCUUCAAAAUUGCUCAUCUCUAGAGUUUCUAGUUGCUGACCACAACAUGAUUGAAGACACAUUUCCUUUCUGGCUCAAGGCUUUACCAAAUUUGCAAGUACUAAUCCUCAGUUCAAACAAAUUAUAUGGUUCGAUAUCUCCUCCUGGUCAAGGUCCUCUCGGGUUUCCAGAGAUUCGUAUAUUUGAUAUAUCUGAUAAUAAGUUUACUGGAAGCUUGCCACCAACAUACUUUGUCAACUGGAAAGCAUCGUCACUUAUGAUGAAUGAAGAUCGUGGUCUAUAUAUGGUAUACACAAAAAAGACUUAUGGGAUACUAUCCUAUAUCCAUAUAGAAACUAUAGAUUUGCAAUACAAAGGUCUACGCCAAACCCAAACGAGGGUUCUUACCUCAUAUGCCACUAUUGAUUUUUCUGGGAAUAGAAUUGAAGGACAGAUUCCUGAAUCAAUUGGUCUCUUGAAGGCACUGAUUGCACUCAACUUAUCAAAAAACGCCUUCACAGGCCAUAUUCCUCUGUCUAUUUCCAAUCUGGGAGAGCUCGAGUCACUAGACCUAUCAAGCAACCAACUCUCAGGGACUAUUCCUAGUGGAAUCGGGAGCCUCUCAUUUUUGGAGUACAUAAAUGUGUCUCGCAACCAGCUCAAGGGUGAAAUACCACAAGGAACACAGAUCAUUGGACAAACUCAAUCUUCAUUUGAAGGGAAUGCAGGGCUUUGUGGUCUCCCUCUCCAGGAAACUUGCUUUGGGACUAUUGCGCCACCGAGACAACAACCUCCGGAAGAAGAUAAAGAAGAGGAGGAACAAGUGUUGAACUGGAAAGGUGUGGGAAUAGGGUAUGGACCUGGAGUGUUGCUUGGAUUGGCAAUAGCACAAGCCAUUGGUUCAUACAAACCGGAGCGCUCGUCAAGAUAAUUUCAGUUUGAGUAUGAUCCUUCAAUGUAUGUCAAGUGGUUGAUGAUCCCUCUUGUAUGGAAGCAUCUAUUUAUGUUUGUUGUAUCAUUAUCUGAUGAUUUGCUUAUAUAUCGUUUUCUAUAAAGUAAGAAGGGUGAAUGUUUUGUAGUCGAUUUCAUGUGCAUCUCUAUUUUUUUUCUUCCGAGUAAAAUGGUGAAAGGGGGUCAAAUUGGGAUUUAGUAGUAUUCAAAUAUUAGAUCGAUCACAUUCCAAUAAGAAGAAGCCAAGAAACUGUUGAGAACUAAUGGGAUAUAGAGACAACUAAUAUAUUAAAUAGCCGUUUUGUAAAGGAUGCUUUGUGAUUAUGUCACUUGUUAAUUUGAAGUUGCUGUGAGAUAUUUUUUGCCUUUCAAGAUACUGCAGAAUACUGAUCAUAUAUGAAAGCUACACCAUCAACAGAACGAAACCUCAAUUUAUAGUGACAGAAGUGGUAAGAAAUGGCUAAAGGCUAUGCUCUUGGAGUAACAAUAGCACAAGUCGCUGCUUUAUACACACUAGAGUUGCUCGUCAAUUCUAGAAAUUUUAUGAUUUUUUGGUUUUGCAUGUGAUCUUUGAAGGUUCAUUUAUGACUUGGUGGCGUUACAAAGAAGCAAAUUUCCUAUGGUUUUUCUUAUAUCUUUAUCCAAUGCUAUGUUCUGGUUUCAUGUGCUUUAAAAUUACGAAAUCUGAAUCUUUUCUAUUCAUAUUUGUUUAUUCUUACUCAAAUACUUGAGGGAGAAAAAAAAUAGAAGAAAAAGCCUCGAAACAGAGGCGUGAGAGUAAAAGCAAACGACAGGGUAUUUGUCAUGGACGGAGCCGAGCGAUAGAACGGGUACGGGUUUUGUUUUGUAUGAGCUUGAUAGGGAACCUCUCCACUCCAUGCAGAGGCAGACAAUCCAUAAUGGGCGAUGAAGGAGGUGAGCAACCGUGGACUGCAUCAAGUGAACUUUGAGUCCGACUGCCAACAACUUGUGCAAAUUAUCCAAUUGGCGAAACCUUGGCCUGCUCUAGACCCUGAACUGUAUGAAAUUGGAGCACUUCGAUCUUCUUUUUAUGGUUUUACUACUCAGUUUAAUUCCCUGAUUUUCAAAUGUCCAUGAGGAUAGUCUUGCUAAAGACGUCUGAUUACAUGUUGAGAACUACACUUUAGUAGACGUUAAGGAUCUCCUGAGAUUAGCCCAUGAGAUUAGACCAUGAGACUAGCUUGUAUGGAACAUGAAACUUUUGAAGACAAAAACGAAAAAAUAAUAAUGAAACACAAAAAGAUUUGAUUUGUUGGUGUUUUUUCCUUUAAAAUUUUGACUUUAUUCGUGUCUUUUUGUUAUAACUUUUUUUUAUCUCUCUUAACAGGAAUUCAUAACCCACAUGUGACAUAUGUAAUGAUUUAUCAACAGAAAGUAGGCAUAUCGCUUCUCGAGUUUAGCAAUUGAAUCACAAGUAAACGUGGUUAACAACUAGUUUGGUCUCAUAUUUUGAUCACGUUUCUCUUCCUAAUUCUAGUCAAAAGUUUCCUCGACUUUUGUCCGAGCAUGAACACUUGCAUUUUCAAACACAAUCACUCUAAUUCAGUUUCGUUUAAGAAAAAAAAGUAACUCGUUUUUUGUAAAGGAUGCUUUGUGAUUAUGUCACCUAUUAAUUUGAAGUUGCCUGUAAGAUAUUUUUUGCCUUUCAAGAUACUGCAGAAUACUGAUCAUAUAUGAAAGCUACACCAUCAACAGAACGAAACCUCAAUUUAUAGUGACAGAAGUGGUAAGAAAUGGCUAUAGGCUAUGCUCUUGGAGUAACAAUAGCACAAGUCGCUGCUUUAUACACACUAGAGUUGCUCGUCAAUUCUAGAAAUUUUAUGAGUUUUUGGCGUUAAAACGAAGCAAAUUUCCUAUGGCCCAAACCUCCAGGAAUCUCGAAAAACACAAAAGGAGAAAGAAGAAACACAAAGAUGUACUCCGCUAAUUCACACGACAUUACACAGACAGACCACAAAACUUAGUGUGCGACACAUGUAGGGUCUUCUGAUGUCUUUCCAAGUUAUACUUUUAAAAAAUCAACUAACUUAGCCAUUAAGUUCUCCAAUCAAGAAUAGUGAAUACAAAGACUUCACGUAGCUCUCUAUCGUUUUCCAAGUCUUAAGUUUUGUGGGUGACAUAUCUUUAUUUAUACCACCAACCUUCUCUCUCAUUUUUCUUAAACCAAAAUAAAUCUUUUUCAAUACUUAUUCAUAAAGACCAUGUCUGAAUCCCGCGUGCAUUUACAUUUUCUCUGGCUAAUCUUGCUCUGUUGUGUCUCCCUUUCAAGCUUCUUCACUUUCAAAGUCGAUAGUAGUAGUUAUGUUGCUUGUGGUCCCCAUCAGACUCAAGCUCUCACUGAGUUCAUGAACGAGUUUGAUAGCAGCCAGUGCGACCUCAGUGAUCCCUUUAAUGGAGUCUGGUGCGAUAACUCUACCGGUGUGGUCACAAUGCUACAACUCGAGGCUUGUCUCAUUGGAACUUUAAAUCCCAACAGUAGCUUAUUCAGGUUACACCAUCUUCGUCACCUUGACCUCUAUCAAAACAACUUCAUCUCAUCUUCACUUCCUUCUGAAUUUGGCAAUCUCAAAAGGUUAGAGUUCUUAUCUCUCUCUAGUAAUGGCUUCGUCGGCCAAGUUCCUUCCUCAUUUAAUAAUCUAAGCCUUCUCUCCGUUUUAUACCUUUCCCAAAAUGAGCUCACCGGUUGUUUCCCACUCAUACGGAAUCUAAUAAAGCUCUCGGAUCUAGACCUUUCUAAUAAUCAUUUCUCUGGAACUCUGAACCCCAACAGUACUAGCCUGUUUGAGUUGCACCACCUCCGUUACCUCUAUCUAGAACACAACAACUUCAGGUCAUCAUUGCCUUCUGAAUUUGGAAAUCUCAACAGACUAGAGUUCUUGUAUCUUUUCUCCAAUGAGUUUUUCGGGCAAGUUCCUCCAACAAUUAGUAACCUAACCUCG